rnacentral:snRNA from 1 species
AGUCAUAAUUUUGGAUGGAA